UCUCCUGGGAGGGUUUAUAUGUUAAGCUCUGUCAGUAAUUUCUCCCCUAGCAAGAAUGAGGGAGAUGAAGAGCUCGGGUAUCUGAGGGCUGGUGUGUCUGCAUGCGUGUGUGUUUUGGGGGCCGACUGAAGGAAGAGAAGGCUGGAGAGAGGGAACAUGGGUCUGAGGGCACAUCGCUAAGGGGUCAAGAGGCCUAAAGGGGGAGUCUAAGGCUCUCCAUCGAACUUGGACUUGGUCUACAUUAGACUUUAACCUCCAUGAGGCUUGGACUUUCAGGCUUCCUCCCUCACACCGCGGGCAGGUGAGGCGUCUGCUACAGGCCUGGUCUCGCAGAGGGGGCCCAGCGCCCCCCGCCGCCGCCUUCUCCUGGAGUCUGUGUGACAGAAUGGGACCUGUGGGAAAGCAGCACGUCAGCACCCAGCCCCGCUUGCGCGCCAGCAGCUAAUUAAAGCCAGGAAGGUGAUGGCGAUUUUCAACUCAUUCCCGUUACAAACAGCCGACCUUCCUACCGAGUUCAAGUACCUUCUGCCUGGCCUGGAAGAACAAUAUCUCUCUGUCUCCCUCUUCCACUGGCCCUCACCUGCCUUCCCCUGAACAUGCAUUUUGCCUGACAGGAGGCAGAGGCAGUUGAGAUGGAGUCUUGCUAUAUGGCCCAGCUGGUAAUAAUGCCUAGAUUCUUGAGUCCCUCCCUGGCUCAUCCCUGGGAGCAGCACUGAACCUCAUGUCUGACACCUGUCUGGAAAUGGAGCCUGCACAUUGACCCUAGGUGCUUGCAGCUUGGUCCAGGAGGCCAGCGGGACCAGACAGAAGACCACAGCGACACAUGGGGAUGGCUGUCCCACAGGCAGAAAUGAGCAGCCGGGAGGAAGCCCAUGCAGCCAGCCACCCAGCUCCCUCCACAUCGUGGCCCUAGAAUGGAGUCUUGAAGAAUAAGAAGCCACAGCUUGUCAGGGAAUCAGGCUGGAAAAAUGUUAUGAGACUGAGUAAGACCAGAGAUUCCUCAGCAGUGCCUGGAGAAGACCAGGAGAGGAAGCAGAAGACCCUCCUCAAAGAAGCAGCCUUCACCUCCAGACCUCCCAGCGGGACUUAGACAAUGGGGUUAGGCAGUCACAUGUCUGCACGUGGAAACUUUCUGGGACUGCGCUUGGAUCCUGGCUCUGCCUUUUACUAGCCAUGUGACCUUGGGAAAAUCACUUGACUUCUCCAUGCAGGAUUCCUCAUCUGUAAAAACGGUCUAAGAUUAGGAGCCACCUCAAGGUUGUUGUGGGAAUUAAAUUAAUUCAUGUUUAUAAAGUGCUUUGAACAGCGUUUGGCACAUGGAGAAUUGAAUGAGCAAACGGAAGAGCGGCAACCCUGAGUUAUAUUUCUCAAGACACCGGGGCUCUUGAUGGCACAGCAGCAGCUUGCUAGAGCUUGGUAAAGAGACUUGGGCCUGGUACCUGAAGGGCAAUUCCUUGGCCAUGACAUUGUAGGGAAAGACCUCUAUGGGUGUUGAAAAGACAAGGCGAGGACAAGAAGAGUUGAAAAGGAGCUGUUCUGAAGCCACCUGGCUGUGGAUGGAGGAAGCCACAUGUAGCUUAGGUAGCCUGCUAUUGUAAUUUUUUCUGCAACUGAAGAAUUCAAAAUGGGUUUGGUGGGUAGCGAAGGGCAGAAUCUGGCUUCAAGGUGACAGAGUUUGCAUAGAGAUGGCCUUCUUGAGCAAAGGUAGUGACUCCUACAUUUUUUUUUUGUAGAGUUAUGAUACCCAUGAGUUAGUCAGCUUGGGCUAUCAUAACAAAAUACCACACAUUGGUUGGCUUAAACAACAGAAAUUCAUUUUCCUGUAAUUCUGGAGCCUGGAAGUCCAAGAUCAAGGUGACGACAGAGUUGGGCUUCCUCUGAAGCCUCUCUCCUUGGUUUUCAAAUGGGCGUCCUCUUGCUGUCUCUUCACGUGACUGUCCCUCUGCAUGUGUGCCCCUGGGGACUCUUCCUUAUCUUAUAAUGACACUAGUUCUAUUGGAUUGAAGUGUACCCAUACGACCUCAUUUAAACUUAAUUACAUAUUGUAAGGCCCUAACUCCAAAUACAGUCACAUCCUGAGGUACUGUGGAUUAGGGCUUCAACAUAUAAAUUUUGGGGCAAUCCAGUUCAGCCCAUAAAAUCCCUUUUUGGUUGCUUAAUUCUGUUUAUUUGGUGUCAUGCCUUCCUUUUCCUAAAGAACUUCAUGAAUAGAAUUACUUUCUAAGUGAAAGGAACAAAACUGAUUUUUAUUAAAAAUUAUUUUGAGAUGCUUGUGACAAAUUUUGAAGUAAGUGAAGAUUUUCCUGGAGCUUCUACAAAAUCCUGGCUGAGAAUCCCUGCUUUCUGGACAGUUGAGAAGGAAACACACUUAGUACAGCUGUUAGAGAGAUAUAGUUGCAACCACUGAGUGCUUAUUAUCUGCCAACUUAAAUAUAUUGCCCAAGGGAAUAACAAAUAUUCUAGUAUUCUUGUUAAGUAUAUUGUCUAAGGUCACACAGCUCUUAAACAACAGCUCCGGGAUUUGAACCUGGAAUCUAUCUGACUCCUAAGUCCAGAUGCUGUUCACCACAUUAGGUUGAAGCAUGGCCAGUGUUCAUAACAUACAACUAUGUCUCCAUAUCUUUUGCUAACCAAUGUUCUUGUGUGUGCAUACCUUACAGGGCAGCCAUUCACCACAAGCCGUACUAGAUGGCUUCCUGUAAUAAGGGUAGAACAGUAGUACUCUCCUUUUGAGAAGUUAUUUGUAAUUUUGUUGGUGGGCUGACAUUUAGGCCCUGCUCUCCAGCCCCAGAGGGGAUCCCAUAACCUAGAUCAGGCCAAUGAUGAUUAUCUCCAUGACUGUAGUGGCUGGUCCAGCGGGGAGGGUCAGGCAGGUAAGCUGGCCCAACCUGAGUCCUUCUUGAGGAUUUUAGAAACUGAAGGUAGGAGAGAAAAAUUCUCUCUUUUCUUCUGGGGAACAGGAUGAAGGUGGUGGGUAGGCAGAGCUGUUGGGAUGUGGAUCCAGGGAUCCUGGAAGGCUUGUCCUCCACCAUGUAAAGAAUACAUCCUGCGGAAGGAGAGAAGGGAGCCAGCACACAGAGAAGCAGAGUCAGGAGAUGGAGAAGGAGAAUCCUGAGAGCCUGAAGGUCACUGGGUCCAGCCAUUGUCAAGGCCUAGUUCUACCGUCCUUAAGUUUUUUACCUUUCUUGCUUGCUUGCUUCUGUUAGAUGAACACUCAAUGAAAAAUCACCAAACAUCUGAGGAAAGCCAUCAAAAUGAAAUAAACAAAACAAACAAGUUCCUAAACACAAGUGAACAGCGUGGGCUGGGUUUUUGUCACUUGGAACUGGAAACGCUGACUAUAAUGCUGACCUCUGAGCAGACCCACGUGAGGGGCAGCUGUGGUGUGGUGUGAUGAUGCUGGGAUAGGCAAUCAGAUGGUUGAGUCUGAGUUUGGCUCUGAUAUUAUAUCAACUGCAUCAUUUUGGGGAAGACACAAUUUCUCAGAAUUUUAUUUAGUUGUAAAAUAAAGAUAAUGAUAUUACAUG